rnacentral:rRNA from 1 species
AUGCACGGUUCAACAGUUAUUAAAUGCAUGAUGCUGGGGGAGGGGGGGUUCUGCAAAACUACAAUCCUGCAGAUAAAAGCUAAAUUCGCACAGACUGAAAAAAACACUACUGGGCUGAAAUCUGGGACAAGCCCAACACUGCACAGGGGCUGGAGGGGGGCUUCUCACAUUGGGCUUGGCCCAGUUGGUGCUGGGCUGGAAUCUGACUGGAGAGGCCUGGGCCUCAGCGCCCUGCUGGGCCGCGACGAGGCACAAGGCGAGGCCGGCCUAGGCACUCGAUCGGGAAACACCAGCGGCUAG